UCCUGCAAACCACCGCGAACACGUUUCGAAAAACAGCGGGCCGUCGACGCGCUCCGGUUCGCCGACGCCCGCACCUAACUAAACUUCCGGCGCGGAAUGCGCCAAGGACUACUUAAACGGAUCGCUCGCGUCCCCCUGCGGAUUCUGCAGGCGGGGCGCGGGGCGUCUGAAUCGUAACCAAUACGACUCUCGGCAACGGAUAUCUAGGCUCUCGCAUCGAUGAAGAACGUAGCGAAAUGCGAUACUUGGUGUGAAUUGCAGAAUCCCGUGAACCAUCGAGUUUUUGAACGCAAGUUGCGCCCGAAGCCAUCAGGCUGAGGGCACGUCUGCCUGGGCGUCACGCAUCGUCGCCACCCCACUCGUCGCGCUCCGGCGCCAAGAGGCGGGUGACGGAUGUUGGCCUCCCGUGCCCCCGAGGCGCGGCCGGCCUAAAUCUGAGUCCUCCGUUCGGGACGUCACGACAAGUGGUGGUUGAAAACCUCAACUCGAUCGAAGCCGUGACCAAAACCGUGCGGCAGAGCUCACGCAAGACCCCGGAGCCUUCGGGCCCUCGACCAUGACCCCAGGUCAGGCGGGACUACCCGCU
rnacentral:rRNA from 1 species